rnacentral:tRNA from 1 species
GAAAUUUUAAUUAAAGGAUAAUAUUUAAAUGUCAUUUAAAACUUACUAUAUAAAAUUUUAGUAAUUUUCG